GCGGAGGGGCGGAUGGUUGCGGGGUUUUCAUGACCUUGAGGAAAGUCCGGACUCCACAAGACAACGGUGCCGGGUAACACCCGGCCGGGGCAACCCGAGGGAAAGCGCCACAGAAAACGGACCGCCCCGUUGAAGGGCAAGGGUGAAAAGGUGGGGUAAGAGCCCACCGCGGGACGGGCAACCGGACCGGCAUGGCAAGCCCCACCGGGAGCAAUGCCAAAUAGGGGCCGCACAUGGGGUGUCUUGACCUGGCGGCACGGGUUGGCAGCAUGAGCCUUCGGGCAACCGCGGGCCCAGAUGAAUGACCGUCCACGACAGAAUCCGGCUUACAGUUCCUCCGCGCGU
rnacentral:RNase_P_RNA from 1 species